rnacentral:miRNA from 1 species
AAUUAGGACCUCCCUGAGCGGA